UGGGGAAUAUUGGACAAUGGGCGAAAGCCUGAUCCAGCCAUGCCGCGUGAGUGAUGAAGGCCCUAGGGUUGUAAAGCUCUUUUAACGGGGAAGAUAAUGACGGUACCCGUAGAAUAAGCCCCGGCUAACUUCGUGCCAGCAGCCGCGGUAAUACGAAGGGGGCUAGCGUUGCUCGGAAUCACUGGGCGUAAAGCGCACGUAGGCGGACUCUUAAGUCGGUGGUGAAAUCCUGGAGCUCAACUCCAGAACUGCCUUCGAUACUGGGAGUCUCGAGUUCGGGAGAGGUGAGUGGAACUGCGAGUGUAGAGGUGAAAUUCGUAGAUAUUCGCAAGAACACCAGUGGCGAAGGCGGCUCACUGGCCCGAUACUGACGCUGAGGCACGAAAGCGUGGGGAGCAAACA
rnacentral:rRNA from 1 species